rnacentral:rRNA from 1 species
CCUACGGGUGGCUGCAGUGGGGAAUAUUGGACAAUGGGGGCAACCCUGAUCCAGCCAUGCCGCGUGUGUGAAGAAGGCCCUCGGGUUGUAAAGCACUUUCAGUGAGGAAGAACGCCUGGUGGUUAAUACCCAUCAGGAAAGACAUCACUCACAGAAGAAGCACCGGCUAACUCCGUGUCAGCAGCCGCGGUAAUACGGAGGGUGCGAGCGUUAAUCGGAAUUACUGGGCGUAAAGCGCGCGUAGGUGGCUUGAUAAGCCGGUUGUGAAAGCCCCGGGCUCAACCUGGGAACGGCAUCCGGAACUGUCAAGCUAGAGUGCAGGAGAGGAAGGUAGAAUUCCCGGUGUAGCGGUGAAAUGCGUAGAGAUCGGGAGGAAUACCAGUGGCGAAGGCGGCCUUCUGGACUGACACUGACACUGAGGUGCGAAAGCGUGGGUAGCAAACAGGAUUAGAUACCCUGGUAGUC